GUCAGAGAAGAAGAGAAGCUCCAUCAUGUCAGGUUCAACACCAACCAUGUUGCCUGUAGCUCUGCUGCUGCUGCUGGCUGCUGGAUCCUGUGUGAAGUGUGAACAGUUGACACAGCCAGCCUCUGUGACUGUGCAGCCAGGUCAGAGUCUGACCAUCACCUGUCAGGUCUCUUAUUCUGUUAGCAGCUACUACACAGCCUGGAUCAGACAGCCUGCAGGGAAAGGACUGGAGUGGAUCGGUAGCGAAGCUGGAUCCACCAGAUUCUACAAAGAUUCACUGAAGAACCAAUUCAGUAUCAACUUUGACUCUUCCAGAAAAACAGCGACUCUAAACGGACUGAAUAUGCAGCCUGCAGACACUGCAGUGUAUUACUGUGCCAGAGGUGUUGAUGGUCAGACUCUGGCACAAUCUCAACCAGUGGUUAAAAGGCCUGGAGAAUCCCACAGACUGACCUGUUAUGCCUAUGGGUUUACAAUGAGCAGCUACCGGAUGGCUUGGCUAUGCAACAGGUUGGCUCAGACAGUGCGAAGGGAAACCAAUGAACUGGAUCUGUCAUAG